rnacentral:rRNA from 1 species
UACGAACUGCGCGAACGUUAUUCGGAAUCACUGGGCUUAAAGGGUGCGUAGGCGGCUUGUUAAGUCAGGUGUGAAAUCCCCCGGCUCAACCGGGGAACAGCGCUUGAAACUAGCAGGCUGGAGUGAGGCAGGGGUGUGCGGAACUUCCAGUGGAGCGGUGAAAUGUGUAGAUAUUGGAAGGAACGCCGGCGGCGAAAGCGGCACACUGGGCCUUGUCUGACGCUGAGGCACGAAAGCUAGGGGAGUGAACGGG